rnacentral:lncRNA from 1 species
CAGUAAGUGUUUGUUGAAAAACCUGAUACUGUAUAAGGUGCUGGGAGCAAGAAGGACACAGUUGCUGCCCCCUGGGGCUCCUGGGGCAGAGGGAACCACAGCCGGUAGAGCCAGCCUGAGUCUGCGCCUGUGCUUCUUGGGGUUGCCAGAGAAUUGGAUUAGGAAAACCCAGAGAUGGUUGCAGGUGGACGUAUCUAUGAAAUGGUGAUUUCAGUAUUUGACGACCUACGUCCCUCCCAUACAGAAACAGCAGGAGGUAAGAGACCUCUUGCUUCUGUGGUGAUAAGGCAGGCAUAAGAAAACUGCUACCAGAUCUCAAAUGAGUGACCAAUGGAAAAGAGCGUGUCCAAGUGUAAAGAAGGUAGGGACAAUGUGGUCAUUGUCCAUGCAAUUUAAAUCCUGUGAACAUGUGAAGUCAGAUUUUAGGUCCAGAGUCAAGAUUUUGGUCAAGGUCCUAUCUCAGCCAUGAAUGAGAACAUAUUUGCUGGCAUAAACCAAGGAACAUUAGAUUUGGAAGGCACACCAGAGGUAAUACUUGCAUCUUCUGUCAUCUAAGAGAGGAACACAUCCCUUCCUCAGCAUCUCUGGAUGGUGGGUCCUCCAAGCCUUGGCUUGAAUGCUUUAAAAGAUGGAUGGAACCAAUUGUGUGCUAGAGUCAAAUCACACUGGCUUACAAGAGCCAACUGGUAAACUUUCAGAAAUUUUAUGACCUGAUUAUUAAUAAUUGUCAUUAAAAAUAAAAUUAUAUAAACAAUUAUAUAAAUUAUAUUU